GCCAUAACCCAUGCUUUAAUAAUUUCCCUUUAAUUGUCCCUCCAAAAUUCCUAUAAAUACACCCCCAAUUAUUCUUCACUUUCAAUUCAUUCCUCAAUCAAACAUAUAUCCAUCCCAUUGUCUUUUGUGCAGCACUCAUCAGUGAGCAGAGCAUUCUCAUUCACUCGCACACAGGAGAAAAAUGUCGGCAAGCCUCAGGUGUACUUCCCUCUUGCUCCUCCUUUCCUUGCAUCUUUUCAUCACUUUCUCUGACAUGGCUGAGGUAUAUAUCUACUAAGCUUAACCUGAAAUCCUUUCUGUAUAACUAAUUUAAGCUAAAAUUCUCUACGUAUCUGCACUGAUCUAUGAGCUAUUGUUGUUUGUAUCUAUGAACUUUAAACAGGGUGCUAAGUUUCGUGCUUCAGGUAUGUUGAGAUAUCUUCGAGUAUAAAUUGGUGUGAGUUUAAGUUGAAAAAUAAUUAAGAUUAAUUAAUUUAGUUUUGUGACACAAACAGAUUGCAAACCAAAAUGUACAUAUCGUUGCUCAGCAACAUCACACAAGAAGCCUUGCAUGUUCUUCUGCUUGAAGUGCUGCGCCAAAUGCCUAUGUGUUCCUCCUGGAACUUAUGGUAAUAAGCAAGUCUGCCCUUGCUACAAUAAUUGGAAGACCAAGGAAGGAGGUCCCAAGUGCCCUUGAGCACUAUGCUUUCACAAUAUCUUAUCAAUAAAAUACAUGUAGCCUCUACCUUUGUUGUUUAUUUUUAUUUUUAUUUUUA
rnacentral:misc_RNA from 1 species